rnacentral:lncRNA from 1 species
CACAUAUUCUAAGUCAGAGUCGUCAAGAGUUAACACAGUUUCCAACGAAGGGCCAGAAGUAUACAGAAUGGUGUCGUCUGCGUAGAGGUGGAUCAGAGAAUCACCAGCAGCAAGAGCGACAUCAUUGAUGUAUACAGAGAAGAGAGUCGGCCCGAAAAUUGAACCCUGUGGCACCCCCAUAGAGACUGCCAGAGGCACAUGGAGGCAGCAGCUGUACGGCAGUGGACGGGGUCGUAAAAGCGAGGGCCGAAAGAGGAAGUAAGGGGGACCUUCUGAGUUAUUACCCUCCAACGUACACACGGGGGCCUGGGAACUGUCCUCUUCUCACAGAGGACCACGGUGCAGCGUGGAGCAGGGCUGUUCUCCGGGCCUGCUUCCCCCAUCACCCUCUGUGUACUUUACCACCCCAUCACAAGUCCACAGCCGUCAUAAUGAGACAUGAGAGUAUACAGUAUGGACAACAAGACACCGUUUGCUCCAUAAUAAAACCAUUUGCUUACCAUUGCUUUACAACAGAUUUGUUCCCACCAUG